rfam:Bacillus pseudofirmus OF4 plasmid pBpOF4-02, complete sequence.
CAAUACAAGACUGGAUCGUGAGAAGUCAGCAGAAGCCGUAGUAGUAAAGAUUUCUAAUGAAAAUUAGAAGGAGGGAAGGGC